GUGGGUUAUGGGGAGGGCCUGGAGGGAAAGUCGGUGAGCCGGGCGGGCGUAAGAGGCGGGACCUGAGCUGAGUCCUUCCAGUUCCUGUGACCUCCUGAGCGGGGAGUGACAGCCUCAAGGACCAGAGCAAUGGGUUUGCUCUCAGAGUUGAAGUUGGCUGUGCCCUGGGGCCACAUUGCUGUCAAAGUCUGGGGCUUGCAGAAGAACCCUCCAGUUCUGUGCCUGCAUGGCUGGUUGGACAAUGCCAACUCCUUUGACAAGCUCAUUCCUUUUCUUCCAAAAGACUUUUGUUAUGUGGCCAUGGAUUUCGGAGGCCAUGGGCUUUCAACCCACUACAGCCCAGGUCUCCCCUACUACCACCAUAACUUCGUGAGUGAGGUCCGAAGGGUGGUGUCAGCUUUUAAGUGGACUCGGCUCUCCCUCCUGGGCCACAGUUUUGGUGGCGUUGUGGGUGGCUUGUUCGCCUGCAUGUUCCCUGAGAUGGUGGACAAACUGAUCUUGCUGGACUCGACGCCACUUCUCAUGGACUUGAAUGAAGUGGAGAACAUAAUGACCUACAGGCGGAAGAACAUAGAGCAGACACUGAAGGUGGAAGACUCCCAGAAGCCCCCGGGCAUCUUCAGCCCAGAGGAGAUGCUGCAUGAGCUCCUGACUAAGAACAGCCACUUGAAUGAAGACUGUGGGGAACUCCUCCUGCAGAGGGGAACCACGAAGGUGGCUGAAGGUCUGGUGCUGAACAGGGACCAGAGGCUCUCUUGGGUGUCACGGAGAGAUCGGCCUCUGUCAGCAAGCUACCCACGGCACCACAUUUCCUACAUCCAAUCCUCUGCUGAUGGGCAUCAGGGUUUCACGCUUUGGCAAUUGAGAACGACGCAGCUGUAACAUGAGGUGCAAGUGUCUGAGUCUUUGAUGCUGGUGCUUGGCUAUGCCAGAAGAGAAUGCUGCAGCCCAUGGUAACGUGUGACUGAUCUUUUGAGAAAUUGCUGAACUGUUGUUCACAGAGGCCGAACUAGUUUAUGUCCCCACCAAUGUUGCAGGAGGUGCUGACUUCACCCUGGUCUAUCUGUCUCUCUGUCUGUCUGUCUCUGUCUCUCUCUCUCCCCCCUCUCCCUCCCCCUCUCCCCUCUUUCUCUCCCUCUCUCUCUCUCUCUCUCUCUCUCUCUCUCUCUCUCUCUCUCACACACACACACACACACACACACGUACUGGGAAUUGAACCCAAGGACUUGCACAUGCUAGGCAAGUGUUAUACCAUUGAGCUACAUCUCCAGAUUCCUCUCUCUCUCCCAUUUAUGUCUUCUCAUACAUGUGGAUAUAUAUCGUGGACUCUCCCCCUCCAAAUGUCUUCUUGUACACGUGUAUAAACAUGGACACAGACCCUUGUCUCAGGACUUCAUGUUGCCCCGUACCCUUGCUAAAGGAAGUCCCUCACAGACAUGAAGUGAAGAAAGCCAGGAGAGCAACAUAGCUGUGGCACUAGAGAUCAGAGAAGUUCUCCCCGGAGGACCCCAUGAAUCUGGGGCAAUAGCAGGGCCCCCAACCUGGGUCUGGGUCCUACACCCCUGUGUCCUCUGCAAAAGGCUUCAGGGUUGGCCGUUCAGUUUGACCUUGCUGUCUGUUUUAUUACUUAAAAAAAAAAAAAGUGGGCCAGGAAAUGAAUUGGAAGAAGCUAAGAGAGGUUGAGGGGGAGAGGCAGCUGACAAAAGGGGACAGGCAAGUACCAGUGUGGCAAGGUACCAGUCUGGAGGAAUAAGCUGCCUCAGAAACUCCAAAGAGCUUCACAUCCGCAGGCAUGAGUGGAGGUGAUGGCCUUUAAUCCUUGCCUUGGGACCAACUUAAAAUGAAGUUUGAGGCCUGAUCGUACCCUUGAGCCAGAUAACCCCAGUUCCUGAGGAAAAGGAGGGGGCUGGAGGACAAGGCCCACGCGCCAGCUUGCUCGAUGCUGCCACCUCCUGUUCACUGUUGGCUGUGGCCGGGGUCAGAGCCUCCCCGCCUCAGCUGCACCCCACUCCAUCCCCCACACCAGUGAAGCCACUGUGUAGCCUGCACUCUCUGGGAGGCAGCCCCCCCGAGCCUUGUCAUACCUGAGAUGUGAGGCCUCGUAGGUAGGUAAUGUGGGACUCUGCUUUUGAGAACGUUCUCAUGGUGAUUUUAGUCUGAGCAGCAGGAGGAGGAGUGUCUGUCAUGUCUGUGUGAGCGCACAGGUAUGAUGUACGUGUGCAUGUGGGGGUCAGAGGACGACCUUCGGCGGUGUUUCUCAGCUACCGUCCUCACACUUAUUAAUAUUGUAUUUUGAGAUGGUCUGGAACUUUUCCAAUGGGUUAAGCUGGCUGGCCAUCAAACUCCAACUGUCUACCUAUUCCUGCCUCUUGACAGCUGAGAUUAUGGGACUGUCACACACAUGCCCUGUUGUUUUUCUUGUUGUUGUUGGGUUUACUUUGUUUUUUUUUCUUUUUGUUCUUUUUAAAGAUUUUAUUAUAUGUAUGUAUAGGAGUACCCAGUUGCUGUCUUCAGACACCAGAAGAGGGCAUCAGAUCCCACUACAGAUGGUUGUGAGCCAUUAUGUGCUUGCUGGGAAUUCAACUUAGGACCUCUGGAAGAGCAGUCAGUGCUUUUAAUCGCUGAGCCAUCUCUCCAGCCCAGGAGUGAAUUUUGAGACUGGGUAUCAGAUACUAGGACCCAGUGCUAUCUACCACUGACCUACAUCCUCAGUCCACUAUAACUACAUCUUGUAUUUUACUUACUACAUAAUUUCCCCUACAAAGUCUCCUGAUUCUAGCAUACACAUCACACCUACAGUACCCGUCUGUAGCUGCAUGGGACUGGAGGCCUCUAUGUUGGCCACUACAUGCUAAACAGCAAGGACAGAGCAGGCAGAGCUAGGUGGAGACACAGGUCUGGUGGACUCACUGCGAUGUGGUCCAGAACAUAGUGUGAUGUGGAAGUGGUCUCAAAGGGACGGGCUCCACUUGGCGCAGAGCCCAGAGCUGGAAGCUGGACUGUGCUCUGGGAAGGGUCUGCAGGGGACUCCACAGCCCUGAAAGAGUCCUGAAGUAACCUCCAUUGCUUCUCUGCCUCCACCAACAGCCACACCCACUGUAAGGGGUUCUGUGAGUGGACUCUGGCUGGGUGGCUAUGAUCCCAACAAGAGGGAAGAAUGGCUCGGGGGUUGGGGUGGGCGGGACUUUGGUGGAUGGAAAACAAGAGGCUUUGAGUAAUGAAUUGGUGGACAUUGGCCUCCUGGGACCGGUGGCCCAGCUGGCCUAGUUACCCUGCCUGUGGGAGCUCACAGGGCUUCAUGGCAAGAGUCACCCUGGUUUUGUCCCUGCAGCCACAGUACAGCUUUGACUUCAUGGGCAAGGAGCUGACUAUGCACUCUUUGAGGAGGCUGCAGGCCAGCGUGUUAAUAAUCAAAGCACUGGACGGGUACUACGACGUGAGACGGGAGAACGAUUUGAAUAAGGCGUCCUUCCUCCUCAUG